UAAACCUUGUCGUGGUUGGGCGUUGUGCCUUCAUCAGGACGUGCGAUCGCUGGGAAGGUACUGGAUAUGGACUGGACCCGUGAUGUUUCGCUGUUAUUGCUCCCUCAAUUUAAAAGGCAGUAAUCGGGCAGGACUUCUUCUAGGCCUUGUCACUCGGCCAAACCUACUCGUUUAGGUACUUGGUACUCAGAAGCCCCGUCAUAAUUAUUUAAAAUUAAAUCAAUGAUUGUUAUUGAAGGUAAUAAUUUUUUUAUAGAGAAUGUUGAAUUAACUAAUGUCGAAAUAUCAUUUCUUUAAAUUUUUAUAUAAAACAAGUCAAUUUUUUUUUAAAUUUAAAUAUACAUUUAGAAAACAAAAAAUUUAUCUGGACCAAACGACCGUACCUCGCUCCCACUAGCCCCCUUUCUUUGACUGCAACUCUUUAUUGUUCAGCAGCCUCUUCUUUUUCUUCUUCUCCUUUUCUUUUCUUCCCACCACAACUUCUUCUUCUCACUGGUUGUCUUCUCCCUUCUGGAGUGUCAGAGGAGUCUCUCUUCUUCCCACUCGUUGUCUUUUCCCUUCUGGCAGUGUCAGAAGAAUCUCUCUGUCUCUCCUCUUCCCUCUCGUCCCCUUUUUGCCUGCGUAUAGGCACCGGAAAGCAAGCUGACCGAUCCUGCUACUUAAUUGCGAAAAUGGGGAAGAACGAGGAACUGGCGACGGCGACGGCGACGACGACGGCGACGGCGACGACGACGGCGGCGGCGACCGCGACGAUGGCUGCGGCGACGGCGACAGCGAUGGCGAUUCUGCUGCUGCUUAUGUCCAUGAUAGCCGGCAUCUUCCUCAUAAACGACCUCGCAAGCUGGGCGGCUGCACCGGUGGAUCCCCACUUUUUCCUCCUGGAAGAUCUCCAGGUAUUGCUGAUCCUUCUUGGGAUCCUAAUAGCCUGGAUUGCCUCGCUGCUCGUUGUCAUACUAGCCGAUGCGCUCACGGAAACGUCGAUCAAGACCUUCCUCCUGAUCUCCACCCUUUCUCUUGUCCCUGCUCUCGUGACAUUGACGAUUUCGAUGACCGGAACAACGCCCAUCCUGCGUCGGACGUCAUAGUCGUGCAAUCUAACUUGCGGUUCCGGCCGGUCUUCUCCCUGUGGGCUCGUCCAGCAUAGAACAACAUCAUGUUAUUUUAUAUGGGACGAGGAGGCAAUGUAUUGAUGAAGCAAUUCUGAAAAAAAAGCUCAUUUUCAGGUCAGAUUCAGAGUCUGUUAUUGUCAUUGCAGUAAUAGAAAUGGUUAGAAGGAAUAUGUACAGUGUGCCAAAGUGUGAAUCUUGUAGGUAUAUCUGUAUUUCUCUAUUUUUUUUGUUUCUAGUGUUCAUUUGUAACAUAAUUGUUGACAUAGCCACCAUUCGAGUAAUGAGAGAAUGAGCUUUUCUCAUCCAAUUUUUGCUCUGCUCCGUAUUCUUGAGCACAUACUCUG